rnacentral:rRNA from 1 species
UACGUAGGGCGCAAGCGUUAUCCGGAAUUAUUGGGCGUAAAGAGCUCGUAGGCGGUUUGUCGCGUCUGCCGUGAAAGUCCGGGGCUCAACUCCGGAUCUGCGGUGGGUACGGGCAGACUAGAGUGAUGUAGGGGAGACUGGAAUUCCUGGUGUAGCGGUGAAAUGCGCAGAUAUCAGGAGGAACAUCAGUGGCGAAAGCGGCUUCCUGGUCCAGCAUCGACGUUCAGGCACGAAAGCGUGGGGAGCAAACAGG